rnacentral:rRNA from 1 species
UACGAAGGGGGCUAGCGUUGCUCGGAAUCACUGGGCGUAAAGCGCACGUAGGCGGACUCUUAAGUCAGGGGUGAAAUCCUGGAGCUCAACUCCAGAACUGCCUUCGAUACUGAAGAGCUUGAGUCCGGGAGAGGUGAGUGGAACUGCGAGUGUAGAGGUGAAAUUCGUAGAUAUUCGCAAGAACACCAGUGGCGAAGGCGGCUCACUGGCCCGGUACUGACGCUGAGGUGCGAAAGUGUGGGGAGCAAACAGG